UGUAGAGAGAUGAAAAAUUGCUCCCAUAAAAUAAGAAUAGGAACUGAAAAAAUAGUAACCAAAGAAUAAGAAAUAGAUCUUAAUAUUUAAAAGUAAAAUGGCAAAAAAUGUCGUUAAGCAGAACAAGAAGAUCAAGUAAAAAUUAAAAGCAAAAAUAUCAAAAUUAGGAGAGAAGAAACAGAAAUAAAGGAUCAGAUCAGCAGCUCUCAUAUCAAACUAAUGAGAGUUCUGGAAAGAGACUACAGAGAAAAGCAAAGGACAGGGGAGAUUAUCAAAGAAGUAAUACAAGAUUUUCCCCCAGAACUGGAGGACUUUAAUUUGAGGAUUAGCCAGGAGAAUGAGGAAAAAAGACCACAAAAGACACCGACUGUAUGAAUCAUAUCACUGUAAAAUUUCAACAUACUAAGGAAAACGGAGCUACCCUAAAUCCUGCAAAACAGGUUGCAUGCAAGAAGAUU
rnacentral:lncRNA from 1 species